UUCUGCCUUGGUUAUUCAGGACUCUUCAAACCAAGUUAUCAGAAUGAGGUGUGCUUCUCAGCUCCUGGGGCUGCUUGUGUUCUGGAUCCCUGGAGCCAGUGGGGAUAUUGUGAUGACCCAGACUGCACUCUCCAAUCCUGUUCCUCUUGGAGAGUCAGCUUCCAUCUCCUGCAGGUCUAGUAAGAGUCUCCUACACAGCAAUGGCAAAACUUACUUGAAUUGGUACCUGCAGAGACCAGGCCAGUCUCCUCAGCUCCUGAUCUAUUGGAUGUCUACUCUUGCCUCAGGAGUCCCAAGCAGGUUCAGUGGCAGUGGGUCAGGAACAGAUUUCACUCUAAAAAUCAGUAGAGUAGAGGCUGAGGAUGUGGGUGUUUAUUACUGUCAGCAGUGGCUAGAAAAUCCUCCCACAGUGAUACAUCCCUGA